rnacentral:rRNA from 1 species
CUACGGGAUGCUCCAGUGAGGAAUAUUGCGCAAUGGGCGAAAGCCUGACGCAGCAACGCCGCGUGGAUGAUGAAGGCCUUCGGGUUGUAAAAUCCUUUUUUGGGGAACGAUAAUGACGGUACCUCAAGAAUAAGUCCCGGCUAACUACGUGCCAGCAGCCGCGGUAAAACGUAGGGGGCGAGCGUUAUCCGGAUUUACUGGGCGUAAAGCGCACGUAGGCGGUGCCGUAAGUUGGAUGUGAAAGCCCCUGGCUUAACUGGGAGAGGUCGUUCAAAACUGCGGUGCUUGAGGAUAGAAGAGGAGAGUAGAAUUCCCGGUGUAGUGGUGGAAUGCGUAGAUAUCGGGAGGAAUACCAGUGGCGAAGGCGGCUCUCUGGUCUAUACCUGACGCUGAGGUGCGAAAGCGUGGGGAGCGAACGGGAUUAGAUACCCGAGUAGUC